rnacentral:tRNA from 1 species
AGCGGGUUGGCGCAGCGGCAGCGCGGUGGGCUCAUAAUCCACAGGUCGUCGGUUCAAAUCCGACACCCGCAA